rnacentral:rRNA from 1 species
CCUACCCUGCAGUCGAGCGGCCGACGCAUACGGGAAAAGCAGACGGGAGAGUCCACGUGGGAACAGUGCCCUUCGGUUCGGAAUAACCCAGGGAAACUUGGGCUAAUUCCGCAUACGUCCGCAAGGAGAAAGAUUUAUUGCCGAAGGAUCGGCCCGCGUCCGAUUAGCUAGUUGGUGGGGUAAUGGCCCACCAAGGCGACGAUCGGUAGCUGGUCUGAGAGGAUGAUCAGCCUCACUGGGACUGAGACACGGCCCAGACUCCUACGGGAGGCAGCAGUGGG